UUUGACAUGUACGUGGUACGGAUCUGAAAGGUGAAGGACCCGGUCUUCGGACUGGGAGCGUACACAGGUGCUGCAUGGCUGUCGUCAACUCGUGUCGUGAGAUGUUGGGUUAAGUCCCGCAACGAGCGCAACCCCUGCAUCCAGUUGCCAUCGGGUGAAGCCGGGCACUCUGGAAGGACUGCCAUCGACAAGAUGGAGGAAGUGGGGACGACGUCAAGUCAUCAUGGCCCUUAUGUCCAGGGCGACACACGUGCUACAAUGGCCGGCACAACGGGAAGCGAGUUCGCGAGGACGAGCGGAUCCCUUAAAGCCGGUCGCAGUUCGGAUUGAAGUCUGCAACUCGACUUCAUGAAGCUGGAAUCGCUAGUAAUCGCAGAUCAGCCAAGCUGCGGUGAAUACGUUCCCGGGCCUU
rnacentral:rRNA from 1 species